GGAAGCAUAUUAAAAAUGCUCAGUAUCACUAAUAAUUAAAGAAAUGCAAAUCCAAACCAUGUGAGAUUCAAUCUCACAUUAGUCAGAAUGACUAUUAUUUUAAAUCC